CGGAGGGUGCGAGCGUUGUUCGGAAUUACUGGGCGUAAAGCGCGUGCAGGUGGUCUUUUAAGUUUCGUGUGAAAGCCCAUGGCUUAACCAUGGAACGGCACGGAAAACUGAGAGACUGGAAUACGGGAGAAGAGGGCGGAAUUCCCAGUGUAGAGGUGAAAUUCGUAGAUAUUGGGAGGAACACCGGUGGCGAAAGCGGCUCUCUAGACCGAUAUUGACGCUCAUACGCGAGAGCGUGGGUAGCAAACAGGAUUAGAUACCCUGGUAGUCCACGCUGUAAACGAUGGAUGCUAGGUGUUCGGGGAGUUGACCCCCCGAGUGCCGAAGCCAACGCAUUAAACAUCCCGCCUGGGAAGUACGGUCGCAAGACUA
rnacentral:rRNA from 1 species